UACGAAGGGGGCUAGCGUUGUUCGGAAUUACUGGGCGUAAAGGGCGCGUAGGCGGUACUUCAAGUCAGGCGUGAAAGCCCCGGGCUCAACCUGGGAACCGCGCUUGAGACUGGAGAACUAGAGUUCGGGAGAGGAUGGUGGAAUUCCCAGUGUAGAGGUGAAAUUCGUAGAUAUUGGGAAGAACACCGAUGGCGAAGGCAGCCAUCUGGACCGACACUGACGCUGAGGCACGAAAGCUAGGGGAGCAAACAGG
rnacentral:rRNA from 1 species